AAAGACGGUUUCCUCUUCGGAGGCACCUGCACAGGUGCUGCAUGGCCGUCGUCAGCUCGUGUCGUGAGAUGUUGGGUUAAGUCCCGCAACGAGCGCAACCCUUAUCCCCAGUUGCCAUCAGGUAAAGCUGGGAACUCUGGGGAGACUGCCGGUGAUAAACCGGAGGAAGUGGGGAUGACGUCAAAUCAUCAUGCCCCUUAUGACCUGGGCUACACACGUGCUACAAUGGUUGGUACAACGAGUUGCGAGUCGGUGACGGCGAGCUAAUCUCUUAAAGCCAAUCUCAGUUCGGAUUGUAGGCUGCAACUCGCCUACAUGAAGUCGGAAUCGCUAGUAAUCGCGGAUCAGCACGCCGCGGUGAAUACGUUCCCGGGCCUU
rnacentral:rRNA from 1 species